ensembl:lncRNA
AUUUCUUUCAGAUGCAAGAUGUGACCUAUUUCUGUAAUCACCCUCAACGCAGCAACACGUAUUCCUUUUCUCUCUGCUCCCGAUACCUUUUUGGGAAGCUUGGCAAAUUCUUUACAAAACACUUCCUUGAGCCAGGAGCUGAGAUGUUGCAUACACAGAAACAAGAGAGCUCUUGGGAGCACCUAAUUCAGUCGGACAGGAAUGGGAAGCAGUGAUGUAACACAAAGCCAGUGCAGAGUGGAGCAAAAAGCAACAGCUUCUACAGACCCACUCCUUCUGUGCUGCGUUAAAGGCUCUUCCUAUUUGGAAGAAGAAGCGUGAGGAUUUCUCAGGAAGCUGUGGAGAGAGCUGGGCCAGGCUGACAAAGAGGCAGCGGUCAGGUAGUGUUUAAUUUCAUGGGAGCUGGGUUCAGUCAUGCUUCCCCCACUGACGUCAGUGCAAGAAGAGCACUUUCAGCCAGUUCCUACCUGCUGAGCCCAUAUGUCCACUGGGAAGGAUUUGGCAGACAUCUCCACGUAGAGAUAUAUUUACUCCUAAUUUCAGCAGAAGCUUUCAGCACAACGUUUAUCUGCAGAUGAAGGAUCACCAAAUGCUUACAACUGAAGGAAAUGAACAUCAAAGGUAUCCAGUAAAUUAUUUUGGGAGUUGGAUUUUUCACAGAGCAAGUCUCACUUUUUGUAAGUUCUGUUUUCUAUAAAAAAAAAAUACAGUUUAUGUAUGGUUUGAAGACAGAAUCUAGCUGUGCAUUACGGUGGGCUCUGGUUUGUAUGUCUGACAGCUGAGCUGUAAGUGAACGUGACAGCUUUGUGGCCAAAAGGAAGUCCCGAGACUCAGCUUCCAGAACUCAGGUUCAGUGAAGUGAGAGAGGUAAGAGAGCACAAAUCAGAACAUUUCUUAUUCUCUCAGUGUAACUAAUGGCCCUCCAGUGGGUCCUGCCCAGUUGUUUUGGGUCGAGAGGGAGGCAAGGAAGGACAAAAGGGGGAAUAGACAUAAACUGUGAAUAAUACAGAGGUUAUUAUAAAUCCUGCAAUACGUGUGUCUGCCAAGAGAAGUGCAUGGACAUAGGCUUUGUGUUUUUGUCAGUACACCUGUGACAGACUGGCUUUGUCAGUGUUCAGAUGAGCUGAUGUUUGGGGAUAUAAAUCAGAACCUUAAUCUCUCUUUAAACGGUGAAUCCAUGACCACGAUAUCUACUUCAAACUGGUUUCCAUUCACCUCACACAUCCUCAGCCACUUCAUUUUGUUCAGGAACAACUGCACACUGCUUUGUAGAUCCAAAACUUAUUUCAUGUUUUCUUCUCACAUCAGUUUGCAACAUAACCUUUUAGCCUGAGAGGCCUACAAGUACAAAAGCUGGAGUGCUGUAAGAAGACAUACUUUUAAUAGUGAGAAAAAAACAAAUCUGGAGGGAGGAAAAGAGGAAAGAUUGCAAUUCAGAUGAAGUAAUGACUUGAGUAUGAGUGAUGGACAUAUGUACAAUGAACUCCUAAGAGAUAUCCCUUCCUUACAAAUAAUCUGGGCUCUGCUGAAGGCUGGAAGCUUCAGGGCUGUUUUCUAGAAGAGUCUGAGGAUCUUGUUUUUCUUUCUUGCGUGUGUGUGGAGGUGUUUACACCAGAGUACGAUCAAAAUAGCCGACUACAAGGAUGUGUUGAAGUCAAACUCGCAGACCGUUUUAUUCCCAGUCACACCACUUGUAACAAGAGAGAUGAUAUUUCUAGAAAAGGAGGAAUGUAUACUUGAAGGGAGAAGAGUUAGAAGAUAACUGGAGCCAAACAGUAGAAACCCACAAGAGCUGCACUGGUUCAGCCAUUGUGUGGUCAGUGGUCACCAACCACAAGAUAUAUAUUUUUCAUUCCUCUUUAUUGUAGCAGAAUUUGAACAUGACUUAAGGAAGAACUAAGGUUUCUUGGGGCUUUACGUACAAAACCUUUGUGUUAUCUUUUUCUGUAAAGCAAAAUUAUUUUUAGAAUUUAAAUUAAAAAUAAGUAAAUAAAUACCAUUUGCUUAUGCUUUUCCUGCUCUUUGAAAGGCCGUAUAGCCUCUGAGAGAAUUUUCCCUUCCCUUCCCUUCCCUUCCCUUCCCUUCCCUUCCCUUCCCUUCCCUUCCCUUCCC